rnacentral:misc_RNA from 1 species
CAUAAUAAAAUAUGAAGGCUGUACGCGGCUGUGCUCUCGGGCCAGUUUUGCGGAGGCUGAAUUAUUUAUUACCCUUGUCUUUUGCGCACUUGUUGUUCCCUGGGCGGGUUCGCCCGCCACCAGGACCACAUCAUUAAACCUUUUUUAUGCAGUUGCAAUCAGCGUCAGUAUAACAAAUGUAAAUCAUUA